CGCGUCGACCGUGAGUCUCCAGACUCACGGUCAACCGCACAUUCACCAUCCGGCUCAAGCCCCCUCUCCCGCAACCCCAUGUCCCAGCGCCAACGGCCGCAGUGCCCCUCGCCCGGUCGCUCCACUCCCGCUCGCCUGCUAAUCGCACUGCCCGCCGGGGCCGCCCCGCCCCCAUCUGCCGCGUGCUGCACGGGAACGCGCCACCAGGAUGUUCCUGCAGCGUGAUCCCCCGAAGCUGCCGGGCGUCCUCGGCGGUGUGAUGAAAGCUGAUCCUGUCGAGUGUGGCAGCGGCAAGAAGCCCGCACAGGAGCACACCAGCAUGCAGUUGCUGCCCGGGCCAUUGUCCAGGCCGGUGCCGUCCCGCGGCCAUCACGGGUAGAAGGGGAGAAAAGGAGAAGCAUUCGUGUUGCCUUGGGCAGUGGCGGUGGUGACCCAUAGCACCAGGAGCAGAUGAGAGCUCGAGGUAGCUGCUUGGAUGUGAGAUGGAUUAGGAUUGGCUUGCAUUGUCUGACGGAGACCGUGUCCUGCUGGUGGGUCUGUUGCUCUCGGCGUGUGUCCACCAGCCGUAAUCAGGGACCUGCGGAGUUUUCCUUGGAAGGGGAGGGAAUGAUGGAGCUUCAGCUAUCUGAAAGCAGAAAACAGCAACAAGGCAGCAUGCGGUUAGAGUUAGGCAAAACUUCUUUCAACUAGUCAGCUUGUAGUUUAAAGUAAGACAAUCUUCUUUCAAAUUUAAGCAAAUUAUUACCUUUUUGUUGAAUGGCCGUGCCCUGAACUUGGGGAUCUUGGCCAGCAUCUCCUCCUCUAACUCUGCAGUGCUCUUCACUCUGACUGCUCGGACUCUGUGGGAAGUCUGAAGCUCGGGUUCCUUCGGUCUGGUUAACACAAGCUUAGGCCUUCCCUGUAAUGCUGCAUCCUCCUGCAUAACGCAUAAGCAAUCAGGAGGUCAAGCCACUUCCCUUAAUUAAUUAUCAAUGCUGUUUUCUUGAUUCAGUAUUCCAGUUGUAAUAAAUAUAAAUAUAGACAGUAAAGUGGAGUUGCAAUGCAUGUACAAUAACAAAGUAAUGACAGAAAUGGGAUGUGAUACUUACAACAGAAAGAGAUCUGUUGUUAGCGAUGCUCA